GGCUCUGUGGCGCAAAGGUAGUGCAUCUGACUCCAGAUCAGAAGGAUGUCCGUUCGAAUCGGGCCGGGGUCA
rfam:Perkinsus marinus ATCC 50983 gcontig_1104296558268, whole genome shotgun sequence.